GUGAGCGUAGCUCAGUCGGUAGAGCCCCGGAUUGUGAUUCCGGUGGUCGUGGGUUCGAUCCCCAUCGCUCACC
rnacentral:tRNA from 1 species